GAAAUGCGAUACUUGGUGUGAAUUGCAGAAUCCCGUGAACCAUCGAGUCUUUGAACGCAAGUUGCGCGACUUCGCCGUGAUAAAAUGGUGGAUGAGCCACGCUCGAGACCAAUCACGUGCGAGCCGGUCAGUUCUGGACCCAUCGACGACCCUUUGCGUGCACGCACGCUCCCAACGAGACCUCAGGUCAGGCGGGGCUACCCGCUGAGUUUAA
rnacentral:misc_RNA from 1 species